GGGAAUUUGACUUAAUAGGAGUAAUUGAUUUACACUCAGUAGAUGUAAGAUAAAGUCUUACUACCCU
rnacentral:tRNA from 1 species